GUCUAGUUGACGAGUUCAAAAUGGGACGAAAUGUGCAUCCUGGAU
rnacentral:hammerhead_ribozyme from 1 species